UGCCCCUGCCCUUUUAUCUAACCCUCAACUAGUACAUGGACACAUUGGCCCUUCCUCCGACCCUCAAAUGCGAACUGAAUUUACUUCAGUUCCAUCGCCUUCGGUUCCACCUUCUUCUUCAACGCAACACUCGAAUUAUGAAGAAGAUACCCGAUUCAUGAUAGCCGCAUUUGGAGAUUCAUUCACGGAUUCUACGCAUGUUGUGAGGAGACUUAAUAAAAUAAUCGAUAACUAUUGGAUGGGGCAGUUUAGUAGUUGGACCACUGCUCCAAAAGAAGUAAAGGAAUUGUGGUGAAAUGAGUUCAAGCGGAAGUUCAGGUGGGAUGAAGCGGAAGAGAAAGAAGUUAAAAGAAUUUUUAAGAAGAAAGCCGGUGAUCACAUGCGAAAUGUGAUGAAUAGAGCAAAGAGAAGACAAGAAAAGCCGGAUUUUAUUACAGCUGACAAUUGGGCGGAAAUCAAAAGAAUUUGGGACACCGAAAAGCAUAAGCAAAUCAGUGAAAUUAAUAAGAAGAAUCGAGCUUCUAGUUCUAGUGAAGGGUCUGCCACAUAUGCUGGGGGCUCUAUUAAUAUCGGGGAGCAUAGAAAAAGAAUGGCAGAUGAAUUGAGGACGGAACCAAUAUUUAUGGCUACAUUUCAACGCACCUU